GGGGAAAGGGAUUUUCCUAUAAUGGGAGUUAGUCAGUUUUUCAUUCUGUAGCCCAAUGAUUCUCAGAAUCAGCUGAUUGACAAUGGGAUUUUUUUUUUUUUCUGGGACUAAUCACAGAGAAGAGGGCCACUUGGGAUCCUUUAUGUUAUACUGUUCCCUUCCCCCAUCUCAUUUCCUCUCCCUCCUGCCCAGCUUAGCGUCCCAUAAUUAUCUCAUUAUCUUUCUGCUUGGUUUCUCACCUGGAAAAAUGUAAAAUGCUUUGAAUAACUACUCUUGUAGAUCAAAUCUUUCUGAAACAAAAGAGCAAUAAUUAAGUCUCAUUAAGUUUUGCCUGUUUGAAAUGGCUUUCCUCUGAGCAGGAGAGCAAACAGCAGGCCUUUUAGCUUGCAGAGACCUCUUCAGUUAAACUCAUGUAUGCAGUGGACCUUCCAGAUUUGUUUACUCAGACUCAGAAGAAUUUUGUCUCUGGUGACAUUCCCUUGAAACCAGUUUUCCUUUUUCUCUGAAAAGAGAGGGUGAAAUUAAAGAAAAUUUACUUCCUAUUGCUGUGUUGGGGGUGUGGAGGGAUUCUGCUGCUCUGUGAAGACAAAUUUGAGAUGAUGUCACCAAGUCACUGAAUAGAUGACACGUGAUAAGAGACGACACGGAUCUCCGGGUCCUCUUCACUCAAACCACCUUCCCUUUCUCUGCCUCUUGAAAAUAACACUCAGCUGGAAAGGGCUUAAAACUUUGAUGGCUGAUUGCCGAGUUGCCAAGAGUUGACAUUUGCAAGAUUUGCCACUGAUCGAGAAUGACAGAUCCCCUGGAAUCUGCUCUGUGAGUCUUGAAUAAGCUUCCCAAGACCUGUGUUUCCUCAGAGAGCUAAUGAGCCAGCGGCUUCUGAAACAGCCUAUAAUCUAGAGUUAAGAAAACAAAAAAAAACGCACAACUCUCUUGUAGUAUCCAGACCUUCUUGACUUGAGAAACUUGCCCUCCUCCCACCCCAAAAACCAAUCCAACAACUCAAAACACGGAUUGAUAAAUAUGAAUUCAUUGUUCAAUCAAUAGAUGAGGCAACA
rnacentral:lncRNA from 1 species